rnacentral:misc_RNA from 1 species
UGUUUACCAAACUGCGGAGAACUCCAAUUAUUUAAUUCUGGUUUCGUUUUCUCUCCACGUCUGGGUCCUUUGACCACCCACAGUCAACCUUCUUCUCUAAAGAUUCAGAUUGGCAGGAGGUUAUUAAUGAUGCAAAGUUGAAAGAAGCUAUGAUUGAAAAGAUGAGGCCUUGAUAAAAAAUGAAACUUUGGAGCUUGUCACUCUUCCUGUUGGAAUUGAUGAGAUUUUACUUUAAUUUAUAGGAUAUGCUUAUGAGAAAAUCAUGUGAUUGAUUAACUUAAUUAGUGCUUGUAUUAAGGAGUAAUUUAAAGA